AUCUGUAUACAAACUGCUUUUUCUUAGUCUGUCAUAGUUACUUUCUCUUUAUAUGCCCUUGGUUGAAAUAACCUCUGUCAGCAGAAAAAGAGUACUGCCAGUGUAACUUUCACCAACUGCUGUUUUCAUUUCAUUUCAAAAUAUGAUGUGAUAAAAAUAAAAUCCAUAGUAGCUGUAAUAGUAGCUCUCAACACAGUUAUAUAAUAAAUACAGACCAUUAAGUCCUUCUGUAGAUGUUUGUAGUCGGGUGUUUAUUAUUUUAGGAAUACUUUCUUCCCACUGCUAUUAUGACGUGUUGGUACAUCCUGCUAUGCAGCAUAUUCCAGCAUCUACUAAUUAUUGUUUAGUACUAGGGUUAAGAGUUACCAUACUCUACCUACUGGGCAUUUUCUUUUCUGUUUUAUGAUGUUCAAAAUUUUUUGAAAAGCACUGACACAUUCUUACCAUUCACUAUUAAUACUGAAAUCUUAAGACAUUACAAUAAUUAGACCUGAACAUUGAUGGAAGAUGAAGACUCCUCCCUCUCCAAUCAAAGAAGCUUAUGCAAAGAAGUGUUCCUUGGGGACCGGAGAGGAGAAGCAGGAUUACUUCAUUGCAAGUCUGGAUCACCUUCGUAUUUCUCCUGUUGUCUCUGGGUUUAAAUUGUUGGAGCAGCCGCUCCCCCUGGUGCUCUGUUUUGUAGCGCACAACACAGUACAGUCAAAGUAGGUACGUUCCCACUUAAUUAACAAAAAA